rnacentral:rRNA from 1 species
CCUACGGGAGGCAGCAGUGGGGGAUAUUGCACAAUGGGGGGAACCCUGAUGCAGCGACGCCGCGUGGGUGAAGGAGCGUUUCGGUGCGUAAAGCCCUAUCGGCAGGGAAGAAGGAGGACGGUACCUGACUAAGAAGCCCCGGCUAACUACGUGCCAGCAGCCGCGGGAAUACGUAGGGGGCAAGCGUUAUCCGGAUUUACUGGGUGUAAAGUGGGCGCAGACGGCAGCGCAAGCCAGGAGUGAAAGCCCGGGGCCCAACCCCGGGACUGCUCUUGGAACUGCGCGGCUGGAGUGCAGGAGGGGCAGGCGGAAUUCGUGGUGUAGCGGUGAAAUGCGUAGAUAUCAGGAGGAACACCGGUGGCGAAGGCGGCCUGCUGGACUGCGACUGACGUUGAGGCACGAAAGCGUGGGGAGCAAACAGGAUUAGAUACCCGUGUAGUC